UUACACGACAAAGACCGGAAGAUUUUGUUCAGCGGAGACGUGGUGUACGACGGAUCCAUGAUUGACUGGCUUCCCUACAGCAGAGUUUUGGCCUAACACAGCUCGUGCCAAGACCUGGUGUGCGCUGGGAGCAGCGCCAUUAGGUCCAAGCAAGAACAGCACCUACGCAGGACUCAGUGGGCAGCAAGAGGUAAGGGCCAUUCUGCAGCCGUUGUCACCUGCCGCUCACUGUCUGCUGCACCCAUCAUCGCCUGCAUCUUUGCAAAGCAGCUGUCUGGCAGUUUCUUUAGAAUCCACUAAGGUAUGGAAAUGCUAUACACCAAACUUGCGAGCUGGAAGGUAUAUAGAUACAUCAGCUUACCCAAAAAGCUUUUGAUUCGGAUCCAACAGCUGAUGGACUGUUGAGAUUUUCAUGCUUCCCGGUGUGGUGAAGGGGACACCUGCACCAUGACAGAGGAGCAAGAGUGAGCACUCUCACUGUUGGCUAGGGAGCUGUUUUGCUUACGGGUGUGCGAGUUAGGAAUUAAAAGAAUUUGUGAACCAAUGAAUUAAUGUGCUAGACUAGUCUGUACAAAGCGGAUUGAGCCCUUGCUUGAUGUGUUUGUUUUUUUUCUGAUGAGCUCAUAAAAAAAAAUUUACUUGCAGAGUACAUUGUUCUGUAAAUUUGAGAGAACUGGACUGUGACGAGCUUAAAGGUUUUAUUUGUGUUUAAGAGUAUUUUUAUGUGACUGGAUUGUAAUUCGGUUGUUAAUGCUCUGUGGUAGGGGAAGGAUGGAGGCAUUACCAUUACCUUGCCCUACUGCAGGUGCUGGAUUAAACAGCCAGUACACUUGUUAUCACAAAGUGAAUGUAACUUGAACUGUUACACUGUUUGCUUAUGAAGUGUUUAGUGCAUUUUUUUUUUCAUGAAAAGUAAAGUGCAUUGCAUUUGAGUCUGUUCAAAAAAAAGUUAAAUACAUUGAGAAAUGCUAAAUGGCAUUGUAACUUGCUUAUGAAAAUUGAAUGUGAGAUGUUUAAAAGCUGCUGAAAUGGUUAAAGUUUGUGUAAUUAUUCUAACAGUCUAUACAUAUUUAACUUUUUUAAAAGGACACUGUCUGAUGUUAUUUUUGUAUGUAGCCAUAUAUACUUGCCUAAAAACAGUGCAAAUGUUUUUCCCAAAUUUUAGUGGAGUUUAACCUUAUUUGUUUGGCUUUCACUUUAUGGGGAAGCUUUUUUUUCCCCCUCUCAUCAUAGCCAACAGAAAGGGAGCCCAAACUUUGGGCUCUGUCUAAGGCAUGGGGGAAUGGAAAUCAAUAGCCUUCUUAAUCGGUGUAAAUUCUGGUGAAAAAAAAAAGUUGCAAAGUAAAAAGCAUCUCUGUCUAAAAAUUUUGAAAGAGAGUAUCUUAUAUAAUGCUUUUCUCCUUUCACAGAUCACUGCACUCCUGCCUUUACUAUUUGAAUAUAUUCUUCACCAGGAUUUGUACUGAUAGCUUGUGACGUGCCUAGUUCUUGUUAGCCGUGCCUAUCUCCAAGCUGAAGCAAAAUUGUGAGUGGGCAGGACAGGUGUAGCAAUGCAACGCUUGAAAGACCUGUUAUCACUCGGAUCAUGGUCUCUUUUCUGGAGAAAUCCAGGUACAUCAGUGUAUUACAUGAGGAGUGGUUAAUCAGUGGGUAGACUUCUGUCAUAAAUGAAGCUAAGAGGUUUUUAUCUUGGCCUCAUUCAGCCAGAGGAAGAAAUACAAAAGGUUAGCCCGGGAAGCAAAAAAACCAUUUAGUGAAGAGGCCCAGAACAAACUCCACAGUGUGGUUUUCCUUUUUAGCCUGCUGACACAUGCUGCUAUUCACGCAGCAGUCCAGACACUGUUCUUGAUAGCCAAAGGUUCAUGGUGGACAAUCACCGAUCUGAGGUGGCAACCCGGAAAGUCAGAAUGGCAGAAAAAAUACAUAGCACUGAAGCUUACACCAGUUAUCCAGAUGAAGCCAUGGUGUCACCGGUUACCCAACAGUAAUUGACUAAAUUCCUUCAAAUUAGCCAUCUGUGGCAUAAACCCGGUAGUAGUCUUGCUUUGUGAAGGCUGUAGGAGCACUGGUGAUAACCCUGCGCAAUAACGCGGACAGAGAGACCUCUUCUGUCAAAAGCCUGACAAUACGUAUGCCAGCUGCUGAAAUUUUGCAAAUGUUCAUUAGGAGAGUGAGAUCACGUUGAAUUAGCAUUUUGUGUUACACCACUAUCGGUUUGUUUAUUUGAUCCAAUAUUAGAAGCCCUGUAGCCAGAUUUUACUGUAUUGUAAAACCUGAGCUCCUAAGAGAAGGCUCACAGGCAUGCCAAUUCAAAAGGAAAGAUGCCCUCCAUCGUUUGUGUUUAAAUCUCUGCUCAGCAUCAGCUACAAGAUCCCUAAAUGUCCAGAUCACUGUCAAAAUGCCCUAUUAAGCCAUGCUUAAGUCCAUUAAGUAUACGCAGAUAACGGCAAUUGCCAGGGUUUUUUUCCUUGACCAAAAUCUAGGGAAUAAUUUCCUAGCUCAGAAGUGAGCUUUACAUGAACAUAGCCCAAAAUGGGGCAUGUUAAUAAACUGCUGCUAUAAUCCAGUCAAAAGUAGUUUUUGAGGGUCUUAAAAUUAUUUUUGUAUUACAAGAAAUUCACUACUAGGUCAAUGAUAUGUCUUAAGUAUAAAGAACUGGCUCUGACUAUUUUUGUUAAGAAUUACCAAGUUUUAGUUGUAAGAGUUUGACAGUGUCCCUUUAACACUACUUGGAUUAAAUAUUUAAAACAUACAUUGUAAGUUUAAAUAUUGCAACAUCUUGGGCAUUUAGAACUGUGUAGAUUUAUUUGUAAAAUCUAAAUGUAUGUUAAUGCAGUUUUCAGUAGAUUGGCAAAAAAAUCAGAUGGGAAGUUUUGCUCUGUAAUCUGUCAAGACUUUUGUGAUGUUAAACAACAGUUUACACAUAAAAAAUACUUUUACCGUAGAUAAUCGUAAUAAAAAAUGUUAUAAUCC